CCUCCCUAGAGAGAGGGAGGGGGCUAUCUCAAGGGAGGCAAUUUGCUUUACACUAAAAAAAAGAUAUUCGAGCAGUAACCUGAAGGAAGUAAGGUACCAAAUCAGGAGGUCCUGACAUCACCAUGUGCUUGACACAUCUGAGAAACAUCAACGAGACCAGUGUGACCAAAGUGUCUGGUGAAUCAGCUGGAAAGACCACCCAUGCUGACCUCUUUGUUCAUGGGUCAUGACCCUCACAGACAGAGCAAGGACCUCUUCAGGUCCUGACAGGAAGAUGUACCCUUGAGAUUUCUUGAAUAUCCUCAGAAGUCUGGAGGAGCAUUCCUGGCUCCCUGCUCAAGCGGCUCACAUCAGAUCCCAAAAGGAGGAGGACACUGUCUGCCUGCCUGCCUGCCUGAUUCUGGUGACAGUUCCUGUUGCAGUUCCAGUUGCUACUGUCUCCUAGAAAUGGCUGGUCACUGCAAUGCAUAGCUCUUCACUACAAUGCAUAUUGCAAGAACCAAUCAAAGACAGCCAAGUAUCCUACCUCUGUACCUCCCCUUUGUAACUCCAUAAAAACCUGCCUCCUUGGGCCUUUCAGGCCUGAUAUUUUGGGAAUAAUCCUAAUCAGUGCCUACUGACUUAAAUAAAUCUGCC